rnacentral:rRNA from 1 species
UACAGAGACUGCAAGCGUUAUUCGGAUUCACUGGGCGUAAAGGGCGCGUAGGCGGCCGCCUAAGUCAGACGUGAAAUCCCUCGGCUCAACCGGGGAACUGCGUCUGAUACUGGGUGGCUUGAAUCCGGGAGAGGGGUGCGGAAUUCCAGGUAUAGCGGUGAAAUGCGUAGAUAUCUGGAGGAACAUCGGUGGCGAAGGCGGCAUCCUGGACCGGUAUUGACGCUGAGGCGCGAAAGCCAGGGGAGCAAACGGG